rnacentral:rRNA from 1 species
UACGGAGGGUGCAAGCGUUAUCCGGAUUCACUGGGUUUAAAGGGUGCGUAGGCGGGCAGGUAAGUCAGUGGUGAAAUCUCCGGGCUUAACCCGGAAACUGCCGUUGAUACUAUCUGUCUUGAAUAUCGUGGAGGUAAGCGGAAUAUGUCAUGUAGCGGUGAAAUGCCUAGAUAUGACAUAGAACACCCAUUGCGAAGGCAGCUUACUACACGAUCAUUGACGCUGAGGCACGAAAGCGUGGGGAGCAAACAGG